GCCGGGGUGGCGGAACUGGUAGACGCACCAGACUCAAAAUCUGGCGCUGGCAACAGCGUGUCGGUUCGAUUCCGACCCUCGGCACCA
rnacentral:tRNA from 1 species